CCUCUCUCAGGGUCGCACCUGGAGAGUUUCCAGUACUCUACCAGCCUCGACUACGGGAGGGAGAGUCAAGCAGAGGCCUGUCCAUUCCAUUCCUAGUUUGGGCAGUGGCUAGUGAGUGGCAGGGAAACUGCUACAAGU
rnacentral:snoRNA from 1 species